UUUGGGCAAGCUCCAGGAGUUGGUGAUGGGACAGGGAAGCCUGACAUGCUGCAGUCCACGCAGUCGCAAAAGAGUUGGACACAAAUGAGCGACUGAACUGAACUGGUCCACUUACGCUCAGAUGUCUUUCAACAGAAUUACAGUAUUACACAGUCAUAUGUUGGUUGAAUCUGCAGGAUCAGAACCUCAUAUAUAGCAGGCCAACUUUAAGUUAUAUGUAUAUUUUUGACUGCAGAGGGUUAGUGCCCUAAUGCAUUGUUCAAGGGUCAACUGUAUCCACAAGUACCUCUGUCUUUACUUCUGAAUCGAUCUGCUUAUACUGAGAGGUAGGAGUUCACAUCAGAACUUCCAUAUCCAACCCAAUAUCACAGGGUUCAUUUUAGUUCUUUAUCUUUUGGUAUUUGCAACUCUGAUGGUAAGAAACUGCCUCUCAUUACCCUUGAUGUAUUUCUCACUGGAAUAGCUAAUCUCCCAUCUUUCUGAGGACACCUCCCUCACCUGCUUCUGGUUUUGAGGGUGCUGUUCUCAUCUCCCACGUGGAUUUCCUUCUCAGCCCACUCAGGCAUCCUAUACAUAGCUGUCCCCAAAUGGGGACAGUCUUCCACCUGCCUAAUGGUGUUAGAACUGAACUGCUCUGGAAGAAAUAAAGUAGACAAAGAGUAGAUUUUAGCUCCUGUAACAUACUACAAAGAAUGAAGGCUCAACAAGGUAGUUUCUGUGACCUUUCCUGAAAUGUUGAGUCCUGAGUCAGUUAAAAUGAUGCUGUCCCUCACCCUGCCUGCUUGUCUGGGAGCUGAGAUGCCUGGGGUUUCAGCUAGAUGUAUCGGUGGCACAGGUCUGGGAGGUGGAACAUCGGUGUCUUCAGCUCAGCUCUGCUUCUAAGAACCUGAAUGUUCUUAGAGGAGUAAUCUGACCUUUCUUAGCUCUCUCAUCUAUAAAAUGAAUAGGCUGGGCCAUGUGAAGACCAUGGGCCAAAAUUGGCUAAGUGCUUGAUUUAUACUUGGAUCUUAGCCUUCAGAAAAAAAUUUGAAUUUAUUUGGAAGGAGGCUGUGCAUGCCAGUUAGCCACAGGUGGGCCACAGCUGAGAUGAUCUUUCCAAGUUUCACACAUUUCCUUCCAGCCGAAAGAUUCUGAUGUUUAGGCCCUGGUGAAUCAAGCCUACCCCAGUCUGACCCUUCUCGGCUAAAGGCAGUAUCUAUACCAAGAAGAAUGAAGACAGCUUAUAGACUUCCAGUCAAGGCCCAUAUUCAGGAUAUGAUUUUAGCUUCUCUUUCAGAGACUGCAAAGAAUGAAAGCUCAACAAGGUAAUAUCUCUUUCCUACUUAACAGUCCAGAUGUAGGUAGUCCAGAGUGAACUGGUGACCUCCUGGUGUCUGAGCCUGAAGCUUCUGAUUGUUCUGCCUGAUGAAAGAUGACUCAUCGCUACCACAUACUUGGGUAGGGGAGGGCACUCUUCUACUUCAGGGUGUGACCAGGAAGUUGCACAUGUCAAUUGCAACAUGUCACAUCACGUGGCAGAACUUAGUCACAUAGCAUAUACAGCCGAAUGGGAGGUUGAGAAACAAACCUUUGUUUUUGGCAGCUGUGUACUCGGACACAACUUGGGUGUUCUGUUGAGAGAGGACAAAAUGAUUAUUGGGGGAAAAUGAGCAACUUUUACCAGAGUGUUUGUUAAGAAUACUCCUUUCUGCCCACUCCGGGUAAUGUCUUCUCACAUGUCAUUUUACUUCCUUGGGCUCUGAUGAUCAGCCAAUUAAGAAUUCAUUUAGAUUCUGCUAUGGUUACUUAGGGCUAUUCGUCAUGACCCUUCAUAAAAAAUAGAAGUCAUCAGCUUCUAAAAGCAGCCAGUCGGGGAAAUUUCAGAGGUGGUUAGAACAGAAUGGGAGGUGGAAGAGAGAAGUUUCGACAAAUGGGAUAGUUGGAGGUAGAGUUGACAAAGUCAGGAAAUCCUGUAGAGAGCCAAUAGCCAAGUGGAAAGUGGGUACCUGGAGAAGUCAGUGCAGGUUUAAGAGAAGUGGGAAAACGGAGAGAGGCUGAGAACCAGAUGCGAGCUUCCUCUGCAUUUUCUGGUGUGGCUCAGUGGAUUUCUAAUCUUCUGUAUCAGGGCUGUCAGAAGGGCAGGAUUCCAUUCUCAACUUAAACCACAUCUCUUCUGAGGCCCCUGUCUCCCUCUGUAAAAUGGGCAUAAUCUUCCUCCAAUACUUCUUUUUCCAGCACUAUUGUAAAAUACAAGUGCGAUGUCAGAUGUUAGAACUUUCUGGGUGAAGUGUAAUAGAUGCAUGGUGAUACUCGAAGAAGCAGUGAGCUCCCUGUAUUCUGUGUGGAGCUGGUCUGGGCCAGCCCAGGGGCACUGAUUAAGUUAAGGGAAGCUCAGAAAUCUGGACUGAUGGGGGUCACCUCUGAUUCAAAGGUCAUUCCUUUGAUAAACGGUCUGGAAGAGACCUCACAGUGUGGAGGUUAACCCCUAUUUGGCAGGUCCAGACCUAGGCUGUCGCAUAGACACAUAUCUGGAAAGGAGUGGGGAGGAUGGCAUGGUCUCGUGUAUGGUCAGAAGGAUGCUCCUGAGGUGGGGCUACUCCUGUUGUGGUGGGAUUGCCCGUGCUUUCUCUGAUGAGCUCAGAGUCCCUUUAAGGAAGUCUUAACCUAGGACUCUUGAGAGGAACCCAAGAACCGUGACUGGAACUGGUUUGAUCUUGGAUUGCAAUGAGCCACAUGGCAUAGCACUGAAUCUCUCCUUUUGAGCUGGUAAACUCAUAUUCAAAUUGUUUGGCUUUCAGCUGUGAAAAAAUCUGAGUGCAAAGAGGAGACAUUUUCUCCAGUUUAGGGAUUGAGUUUGCAAUUAAAAUGAGGACAUUCAGCUGUGAGCCAGGAAAUGCUCUUUGCUCAUAAUUUCAAACAGCCUGUGAGAGGAGUCCUCAUGAGAAGACUAUGAGAGCAUCUUUUCCUGUGUUCUUUUUGGGGGAGGAGAUGACGCAUGGCCUUGUCUUUUCUGGGGAUAACACGAGGGGACAGUGUCUCAGGGAUGCAUCUUGUUUUAUUUAUUUAUUUAUUUUUUAAUUUUAUUUUAUUUUUCAACUUUACAUAAUUGUAUUAGUUUUGCCAAAUAUCAAAAUUGUUUUAUUUUGAAUUGCAACUUGGAGAUGUCAGUUUUAUAUUACUUCCCUCAGUUAUUCAUUUUAAAAAAUGUAACAAACUGUGUUUGCCCUGCACAAGGAGUCAGAAAAAGAGAAGAUGAAUUCUCACCUCUGCCUACGUCUGCAGUCUGCCUUAGCUGCCUAGUAAGUGGCAGAUCAUUCCAGCAUCUCCUAUGAACACAGGAAGGUUACAGAAAGUUUCAUAUGAUCAUUCUCACCCCGGUGUUAGAUCUCCGUCUUGUUGCAUCCGCACGGUUCUGAUGUGCCGUCCAUAGGCUUCAGAGCCACAGAAGCUGAGAGGAUGGAGGAACAGCUUCUUCUCCAACAGGAAAGAGGUUGAGUUGGCACAUCGGACAGACUUUCUGGAAGGAGGGGGAUGGGCGAUUUCCCAGAGUUUAACAGGGUGUUAGAAAAGGGAGAUUCUUUUCACGUUUGUCUGUGCGUUGGAAAGCUUCGCUUGGUGGAUGGUGAGAAAAGGACACCACAUUCCCACACACCCAGUCUGAGGGAAAAACCACCCACAAUCCCCACCCAGCUGAAAUGUCCCACUUGAUCCACUUUUUGGUGAAACCUAAGAUCUGAGAUGUGCCAGCUGCUUUCAGCUGUAGUCUCAGGGGCCCAGUGCAUUCUGGGAUUGGUGUGUUCGUGGGGGUGGAUGGAGGGUGGCCUCAUACAUUGCAAAUUCAGACCAGACUCAGAGGAUUUGGGACCAUUAUGCUUGGCAGUUAUUUUCCUGAAUUAUCAUAACGAAAACAAAUCAAAUUAAUACAAAUAGGUUUUUGCGUUUAGUGGAUUUUCUUUAUAUAAAAGUUAAAGUUCCUGGUUGUCUGUCACAUGCAGGGGGAGUAAGACACUUGAAAUGUAUUUUGUUAAGCAAUCUGAGGCCCAGAAAGAGGACAAAAGACCUGCCAUUUGUAUGCUUCUGAGUCCAGGGACAGUGAUUCCCAAAUGAGUGCCCUUGGGUGCAAAAUUUGAAUGGAUAGAUGGAUGGAAGCCACAGCAUGGAUGUUCUCCACUGAAUGGCUUCCAGGAGGAGACUUUACUUAGUUUGGGAUAACUUUUCACUGGCCCUUGAAAUCUUGAACAAUUUAAUAGGUUUACUCCCAGGUGACUUUUAAGAAAUGGGAACUGGGUGUGAGGCAUGAAUGAGGAGCGGCUUUGGUUCCUUAUGUCUUUGCUCCCAGGGCCCUGGGUGCUGGCUGCAAUCCUGGCCACAGAGGGAAUUAGACGAGGGUCCCGGGCUGCUGUGGAGGCCAGGGGUGCCUGCAGUGACCCCCAGAGCUAGAGCCAGACAGCAAGUGGCAGGUGGACUUGGUCCAGCCUGAGAUGUGAUGAGAGGCCCUGGGGGAGCCCUCGUGCAGCUUUUGUUUCCAGAGCUUUCGGUUCUGUAGUCCCUUUUCCGUAAAGGAAAUUCUUCUAGAAAUGUGUACUUGUAGGAAAGAAACAGGAUACUGAGACGUGUUUCCAAGUCUACUAAGAAAAUCUUCAGCCAGUGAUACAGGACUAUUUACGUGGUUUCUCAUUCAGAAUUUGGCCUUGCUUGGUUCUAGAGGAUGGAAACAUACAUCAGGUAUUCUAAGAUUUGAGGGACCUAAUGAAAUAGAGUUGAUUGAUGUUGUGCUAUUAAAAAGAAUAGUGACUGGACAUAGAGAAUGAUUUGUGGCUGUCAAGGGUUGGGGGUGGGAUGGAAAUAAAACAAGAAAUAGUGAUCAUUUCAGUAAUUCCACAUCAUGGGCUCAGGAGUCAUUCUGGAUGUAUGGUUUUUAUUUUAGUUUUUUAGACUGCUCUGUAGUUAUCUAGGCUUAGGAAAUGCUGUCCUAAUUUUGGUGGUUUAUGAAUGUAGUAACUGUGCUUUGAUGGGCAUCUACUGAAACUAUUAUAGAGUGCCUUUUCUUGAAUGCUGUAUUCCCAGUGAAGCACAUGCAGUUGUCUGUUAAAGACAAUGUUGUGAAUUUUAAACAGUUUCUGAAGGUGUAAAAAACGUAGGCUUAGACAGAAGACAGCCUAUAGCAUAGUGCUCAGCAGCAUGGCGUCUGAAACCAGAGCAUCAAAGCCUUGGUUCCUCUACUAACUAGCUCUGACUUUUCAGAAGUUACUUAACUUCUCUGUGACUCAGUUUCACUACUUAUCCAAUGGGGUGGGGGACGUGGUGGUCACUCAGAUGUGCUUCGCAGACCUCUGGCUGCAGGAAGCGUGACUGACCAAGGGCACCAGCCGCUGUACUCUGACAUCCAUCACCGAGGAGCACUGAGGCCAGGCCCUCACGGCUGCUCCUAGCCCACUGUGCAUGGUAGAACGUGAAGACAGACCCAAUCCUGGGUCGCUUGGAGCUCCUUUCUUUGCCCCUUUGGCCUAAGGACUUCUUGACGGCUUUGCCUAACCCACCUUUCAUGAUGUUUUCAGCCAACUUUCUCUCUGUCUCCUCCCUGGGCUUAGACUUACAAUUAGGUCUGAGGGCUUUCCUGGCCUGGUCUGGCUCCCAGCCUUCCCUCCAGGGUGACAGUGGGAACUGGUUGUCCUCAGACUGCAUUCUGGGUGCAGGGGCACACCCUGCUCUGGUGUUGGCACUCACAGGGCUGGUAGAAGCCUGAGUGACCCAUUCAGAGAGGCGGAUCCUCUCAGAUGGGUGCCUCUGCUCUUUACUAAGUGGACGCUGCCUGGCUCCCUGACCCAUCCUGUUUUCUCCUUAUCAACAGCCAUUUCUCGUUUCCUUUGCUCUUUUUCUCCAAUCAUCUUUUAUUUCCCCAUUGUUUUAUAACCUUUAUACAAAGGGCGAGGCCUGGUCAUCAGAAAACCAGAAUUUUGCCUUCUGACAACCUCCAGAAGUUGUGUGUUCAGUUAUUCUUAGAGCUGUUUCUCUUUUUAAUUGUUUGGUUAACUUUUGCCUUUUUAUUACUGUUUCUUGCUUUCUUUUAUUUUGAACUAUCAGAGUAUGAGAUGCUCUGGUUGCUUGAGAAUUCUGGAGGGUUGAAAUCUGGAUAAAUGAGGUGAUGUAAAUUAAUUCUGUAGGAUUAGAAACUAAUGGAGCAAAUGAGUAAUUACAUUGAAAUCUUGGAGAUGUAGAAACGUUUUUAAGCUCAAAAAUGCCCUGGAUGCUUGGAAUAGAAUCUGGGUGUUUAAAUCUUAAUGUGUUAGGACUAGAUUCAUAUGAGAUGUUUGAUACCUGUAAUACAUGAAUUGAUUUACAUUACUGUCAAGGCUGUAUAUCGUCACCCUGCUUGUUUAACUUAUAUGCAGAGUACUUCAUGAGAAAUGCUGGGCUGGAUGAAGCACAAGCUGGAAUCAAGAUUGCUGGGAGAAAUCUCAAUAACCUCAG